rnacentral:rRNA from 1 species
GACGAACGCUGGCGGCGUGCCUAACACAUGCAAGUCGAACGGAAGUAAGAGCUUCGGUUUUUGCUUUAGUGGCGAACGGGUGAGUAACGCGUGAGGAACCUGCCUGUAACAGGGGGAUAACCCGGAGAAAUCCGGCCUAAUACCCCAUAAGGAUGUCUGUCCGCAUGGGCGGUCAUCUAAAGGUUUUCCGGUUACAGAUGGGCAUGCGUUCCAUUAGCUGGUUGGCGGGGUAACGGCCCACCAAGGCGACGAUGGAUAGGGGUUCUGAGAGGAAGGUCCCCCACACUGGUACUGAGACACGGACCAG